GGGGAAUAUUGGGCAAUGGGGGAAACCCUGACCCAGCAACGCCGCGUGAAGGAAGAAGGUUUUCGGAUUGUAAACUUCUGUCCUUGGUGAAGAGAAGAAGACGGUAGCUAAGGAGGAAGCCCCGGCUAACUACGUGCCAGCAGCCGCGGUAAUACGUAGGGGGCAAGCGUUGUCCGGAAUGAUUGGGCGUAAAGGGCGCGUAGGCGGCUUUAUAAGUCUGGAGUGAAAGUCCUCUUUUCAAGGGAGGAAUUGCUUUGGAAACUAUAGAGCUUGAGUGCAGGAGAGGUUAUCGGAAUUCCCGGUGUAGCGGUGAAAUGCGUAGAUAUCGGGAGGAACAUCGGUGGCGAAGGCGGCUAACUGGACUGCAACUGACGCUGAGGCGCGAAAGUGUGGGGAGCAAAC
rnacentral:rRNA from 1 species